rnacentral:tRNA from 2 species
CCGGGCGUAGCUCAGCCUUGGUAGAGCGGCCGGCUGUAGUGGUUAAAUUGGCCGCAGAGACCGGCAGGUCGUGGGUUCAAGUCCCACCGCCCGGA